AUUGAACGCUGGCGGCAGGCCUAACACAUGCAAGUCGAACGAGUGGCGGACGGGUGAGUAAUGUCUGGGAACCUGCCCGAUGGAGGGGGAUAACUACUGGAAAAGGUAGCUAAUACCGCAUACCAUCGGAUGUGCCCAGAUGGGAUUAGCUAGUUGGUGGGGUAAAGGCUCACCGAGGCGACGAUCCCUAGCUGGUCUGAGAGGAGGACCAGCCACACUGGAACUGAGACACGGUCCAGACUCCUACGGGAGGCAGCAGUGGGGAAUAUUGCACAAUGGGCGAAAGCCUGAUGCAGCCAUGCCGCGUGUAUGAAGAAGGCCUUCGGGUUGUAAAGUACUUUCAGCAGGGAGGCGGGAUCUGCAGAAGAAGCACCGGCUAACUCCGUGCCAGCAGCCGCGGUAAUUC
rnacentral:rRNA from 1 species